GAGUUUGAUCCUGGCUCAGGAUGAACGCUAGCGGCAGGCUUAACACAUGCAAGUCGAGGGGUAGAGUAGCAAUACUUGAGACCGGCGCACGGGUGCGUAACGCGUAUGCAACCUACCUUUUACAGAGGGAUAGCCCAGAGAAAUUUGGAUUAAUACCUCAUAGUAUAUGUCUUUCGCAUGUUAGACAUAUUAAAGUUCCAACGGUAAAAGAUGGGCAUGCGUCCUAUUAGCUAGAUGGUAAGGUAACGGCUUACCAUGGCAACGAUAGGUAGGGGUCCUGAGAGGGAGAUCCCCCACACUGGUACUGAGACACGGACCAGACUCCUACGGGAGGCAGCAGUGAGGAAUAUUGGACAAUGGGCGCAAGCCUGAUCCAGCCAUGCCGCGUGCAGGAAGACGGUCCUAUGGAUUGUAAACUGCUUUUUGUACGGGAAGAAACACUCCCUCGUGAGGGAGCUUGACGGUACCGUAAGAAUAAGGAUCGGCUAACUCCGUGCCAGCCGCCGCGGUAAU
rnacentral:rRNA from 1 species